AUGUCUUAUUUGAAGGACUUACAAAAUAAGGGCAGAGAUAAAAUACUGAGCUAUAAAAGCAAGCAUAUUCUCGGAGUAGCUGCCGCCAUAGCUAGUCAGUCGCAGGGCAUCCAGCAGCUGCUCCAGGCCGAGAAGCGGGCGGCAGAGAAGGUGUCGGAGGCCCGCAAGCGAAAGAACCGGAGGCUGAAGCAGGCCAAAGAAGCAGCCCAGGCUGAAAUCGAACAGUACCGCCUGCAGAGGGAGAAGGAGUUCAAGGCCAAGGAGGCUGCGGCUCUGGGAUCCCACGGCAGCUGCAGCACUGAGGUGGAGAAGAACACCCAGGAGAAGAUGACCGUCCUCCAGACCUACUUCCGGCAGAACAAGGAUGAAGUCUUGGAUAAACUCUUGGCCUUUGUCUGCGACAUCCGGCUCGAAAUCCACGAAAACUACCGCAUAAACGGAUAGGGGAGGAAGGAAGACGUGCCGUUCCAUGGCUGGCAUUUUAGAUGCCUUCAUGGAAUGGGAAGCUUUUGCAGGGCUUGAGUUACAUUCUUGUGAAAAGGCAUUAAAUUAUAUUUCUGUAUAUUACGUAGUAGGUUCCUUCACUUUAUGCAGAAUAGCAGAUCUAGCUUCUUCAUACAAACUUAGAGCUUAUCCAAAGAUUUUUAUCUUUUUACCUCAUAUUUCUUAGCAAUUUAAUGCAUAUACGUUGUUUUCUUAUGCCUUUUCGCUCAAGCAG